GGAUUAGAUACCCUGGUAGUCCACGCCCUAAACGAUGCGCACUAGAUCGGGGCCGCUCUGACGUGGUCUCGGUCGAAGAGAAAUCGAUAAGUGCGCCGCCUGGGGAGUACGGUCGCAAGGCUAAAACUCAAAUGAAUUGACGGGGGCCCGCACAAGCGGUGGAGCAUGUGGUUUAAUUCGAUGCAACGCGAAGAACCUUACCUACACUUGACAUGCAGAGAAGUUAGCAGAGAUGCUUUCGUGCCUUCGGGAACUCUGACACAGGUGCUGCAUGGCUGUCGUCAGCUCGUGCCG
rnacentral:rRNA from 1 species